rnacentral:snRNA from 1 species
AAAGAUUUUCUAUUUUGUUUGA